UACGGCGGGUGCAAGCGUUGUCCGGAAUCACUGGGCGUAAAGGGCGCGUAGGCGGCUCAUGAAGUCUGUGGUGAAAGCCCGGGGCUCAACCUCGGAUCGGCCGUGGCGACUCGUGGGCUGGAGCACUGUAGAGGCGGGUGGAAUUCCGGGUGUAGCGGUGGAAUGCGUAGAGAUCCGGAGGAACACCAGUGGCGAAGGCGGCCCGCUGGGCAGAGGCUGACGCUGAGGCGCGACAGCGUGGGGAGCAAACAGG
rnacentral:rRNA from 1 species